CGACGGUCGUCGUCAGCUCGUGCCGUGAGGUGUUGGGUUAAGUCCCGCAACGAGCGCAACCCCUGUCGCCAGUUGUAUUUUUCUGGCGAGACUGCCGAGAAAACCUCGGAGGAAGGAGGGGACGAUGUCAGGUCAGCGUGGCCCUUACGCCUGGGGCUACACACACGCUACAAUGGGCAGUACAACGGGUCGCGAAGCCGCGAGGUGGAGCUAAUCCCAUCAAAGCUGUCCCCAGUUCGGAUUGCAGGCUGAAACCCGCCUGCAUGAAGCCGGAGUUGCUAGUAACCGCAGGUCAGCAUUACUGCGGUGAAUACGUUCCCGGGCCUU
rnacentral:rRNA from 1 species